CUUAUCACACUUGCACGCGGCUGGCCAAUGGCGCGGCGCGCCCCGGCUCACAUGACGUCUUUCUGUGCGCUCCCUGUCCUCUCAGCGCUCAUUCCCGGCGAGUGCAGGCACCACUGAAGAGCUGGCAUCGGCGGAAUCGGACCACCACCGUCCCUCCCGCGCGGCUGACCUGUCCAGGUGUUAUCAGACGCAAACUUGAUGUCCUCCCGAUGGGACGAAGUGCCCGGCGGUCUCCGAACGCCGCGUCCCCGCUGGAGGAGACUUUUUCUGUGUCCAAACGGACAGACGCGCAUAGACGAGACAAUAACGCCCAGAAGUUCCUGAGAUAAACUGUGAUGAAAGUUGCUGACACAAGUGGAAGAAAUGGAAGAGAACUGUCAGUUUGGGCAAAAACAGCAAGAAGUGGCAGAAGCCCUCCACCUUCCAGGCUGAGCGCAAUGAGGAGACUUAAAAGUGGUUAAGGGUUUUAUCGGUGGGCGAACGCAUGAAAGAGGCGUCAAAGGCAGCUCCCUAAGCCUUUCAUAAUGCGUCCUGAGAGGAGACAAAGGCCUGCGUUCACUGCUGGGUGUCGAUAAGACCUAUCAUUAGUCUGCCAUAGGAGGAGUGAAAGAGGCAGCCAUGCUUGACUCGAAUCGAAUAAAAGCGGAGUGGACCCCCUGCUGCUUUCCCAUCACAGCCGAAUUCACUCAGCUUCCCAGAGCAGGGACAUCCAUGCAUAGCCAUACAUCGUCUGUGUAGUGCGGUCGUGCUCUUCCGUGUACGGCAGCACCUUUAAAGCAGCUUUGGUCCAGACAUGAAGGAGGCACGCAAGCAUACACACGCUCAGCACAAAGGCACCUAGAGGCUGUCUGCGGUCUUCCACCACCCCGCCACUUACACACACACACACACACACACACAAAUCCAGUAACGUGCAGCUGAUAAAGAUGGAGACGCCAUUCCAGCUGUGAGGAGACUGAAAGAGUCACAAAAACACACACAUACACACACACACACACCAAUGCAGCUCCAACACGCAGAGCCUGGGGCGCGUGAGCAGGUGAACAUUAAGUCAAGGCGCUAAACAGAUCACAUCGAGGUAUGAUAUCUGCAGACAUGCAGACAGAGGAGGCCGGCCUGUACCUGCAGGCAGGGAGCAGCAGCCCUCGACUGGAAUUUCCUCCUGCUCCUGGGAGUAGGGUGGGGUGAAGCUCCAGACAAAGGCUUGGACUGGCAAACCUAAAAUUAGCUCCGGUGAUUAAAGGAGUGCAGAAAUCAGAUUGACAGCAGUGGAAAGGUGGAAAUCCUGUACAGAAGAGAAGAGGCACUUUUUUUUUCUUCAUCCACUAAGCUAAUGAAAGGACAAAAACAGAACUAUGUGUUCACACGCUUGUGAAACGGAGCUGAGUUUGGGAGUAAUUUAAUCACCUCCUGUAUGAUUUGUCUGUCUGGAGUUACACGUCUGUUUUGACUGUCCUCAGUAAUAAUUGUGAAACGCUGACAGUACUCAUUACACCGACGAGUUCAGCUAUUUUCUUGCUGAAUUGAAAUGCUCUUCCUAAAUCGUUUUGUUCCCGUCUCUGCCUCCCAACCUUUUUAUCUCCCGACUUCCCGCAUCUUCCACAGCAAAUCUACAUUAAGAGAUUCUAUCUAGGGUUUGCAGAGCUCCUCGUUGGCCAUCGAGCAGAUUCACGGAACCAGUCGGGCACUUCAUUAUUGAUCAGGAGGACACAAACACCAAUUGCUAAACAGCACAAAGCUUGUAGUUCACCUACUGCUCAGAUUUGUUUCGGUUCGCUGCCCCUUUAGUCCGAUUUCUUCAUGUUUGUUUUUGAAAAUGAGGCGUUGUGAGCCAUGAGAAAGAUCGACUGCGUUCUGUUAUCUGCAUUUUAUUAUCACUAUUAUUAUUAUUAUUAAUUGUGUUUUAAAGCUCUCUAUAUUUAGCCUGGCUCUCAGCUCUCCCCGAUUAUAUAAAAAUGAUUCAGUGGUUAAAUGUCAGAGCUGUCUGUGCCAUUAAGGCCAGUACGUUUGAAGGAAGGACGCCCUCCCCUUCUUCUUCCUCUGUCUCUUCUUAUUUCUCUCACUCCCCGUUAGCUUCCACAUCACACACACACACGCACACACACACACACCCCCCUCCCGACACUCAGCCUGGGCUGGUUUGGGGCUGAUGUGCAGACCUUGUCAUUCAGAUUAAGGCCACAUUGUCAGCUCAGGGCUCUUCUCUCUUUAGUUGCGUGUCCCGGAUUUUUCUUUCCCACUGUCGGAACAGACCCGCAGCCAGAAAAGACCUUAUAAAAACUACAUUCCUUCUCAUCCACUUCUGUCAAUUCCAACACUGUCAGUCAAAUCACAGUAGCUGGGGGGGGACACGAUGACGAGAGUCUGUUAGCAGCGUUACUCAAAGCCAGAGCUGCUCGAGCUCAUCAUCAGCUAAGAAAGGAUUAUAUUUUUUAAACUUAAAUAUGCAUUUUAUUUUAUUAAUUUAUUUUUAGUUUUUGCUAUGAAGCAUAAAAAGGUUUCAGAAGAUACAAGAAAGAUGACACAGCAAAAUCAUGUGAUCAGGAGCGCAGAGACGGCAAACUCUCCUUCACAAGAGGGAACGCUUUGUAGUAAAGUCUCGCAGUUAUUUUUAAAUCAAAGUUUUAAAUGUGUAAGGAGGAUUUGUCAGGUGACACAUCCACCAGAUAAUCUAAGUCACUCCUUAUCCCGCUCCGAAGCAUCACAACACAGUGUUUAAUCGCCCAACCGCAUCUUGACUCACCGCCACAGUUUCCAUCACGUCAUGCCUAAUUGCUCUUUGGUAUUUUGAUCUUCAUAUUCCUCACCAACUAACUGAACAGCUGCAUUUUUUUAUCCCUCAAAAUGAGCAGCGACUCUGUGCUGUGUAUGGUGGUGGACGCAGUGAGGAAAAGAACAAACCAAACUGAUGAGUUUUUAGAUUCGGGGCCACGUCAUAACAAAACAGCAAACCCUUGGUUUUGUGAGUGAGUCGGCAGUUUCGUGCCUUCCUCAUCCACCGUGCAUGAAGCCUCUGAGGCAUGGCGCUGCUCCUCUAGAGGCCGAGCAGUUGUGCUUCAAAACACUUCUCGACAAACUGGUUGCAGCCGCAGUCCAGGUGUUUACCCAAACCCACUAUGAGUCAGGAGUUUCAAGAUGACUUCCUUGGUUUAACUGCUACUUGUGUUCCCAGACGCUCAUCAGUGGUGUAAUGUCGACCAUGUGUCAUGGAGGUAGAUUAUGUUCACGUCACAGUUGGUUUUUUUUCUUCAUCUAGGAGUCUAAGUUGAGGUGAGUCAAAAUGAUUCCUUUUUUUUACAAGAGCUGUGGUAAAACAGACCCCCGGAGGAGGAACUAUCUUCAUUAUGAAAUCAGCCAAAGAUGUCUUAUUUUUGUUUUGUGCAAGACCAUUCUUACGUUUCUUCUUUAUGAAUUUUGAAGUGAUAAAUUCACAAAAUAAAUGUUUUAUUUUUAUUAUUUUCCCGUGUAAAGCAUUUCUGAUGUUUACCUCUAAUCGUUACAACUGUAAACGUGUUAUCGUCGUGGUUUGAUUCCACUUUAAGGACAUCUUGUGGUGAUUUAAUGUUUGGCCUUGAGUGUUCGGAGCUUCUACGCCCACGGAGAAGACGAGCUUCAUCUUUAUCUCUAAGCAGACCGCCGUCCCCCGGUCACCAUCAGGUCUUUUCUUGCCCCGGUGAACAUUCAACGCUGUCGGUGAGUUUGAGCUAAAUUAAAGUAAACCAUCGACCGUUGACUGUACCCCGUGGCCAGUCUGUCACUGUCGGAGAAAAGACAGAGAGGAGUCCAAAAUACGCAGAACCCUCUGAGCAGGCAGAGCGAAUGACUUCUUGCUGAAAUAAAAUAAUCACAAGUGUAUCGCCUGGUUCACCUCCGACGUCCAAGUCACAGCAAAAGGUCACAAUCAACAUUCAUUGCUGUCGGUGGGUUUAACUGUGUGGAAGAGCUCACUGAACGAUGAAUGCAACUGUGUCCCAGAUUUCAGCCAACCGUCAACGGGGAGCAUUGUCACAACAUGCUGAUGGUGGCGUUCUUUCAUCCGCCUGUCUCUUUUUCAUGCCUACGCUCAGCAGCAUCCGCGCUGCUGGAGGAAACCAACUUCUUGACGGCUUGGUUAAAAGACAGAGAGGGAGGGACAUAAUGGGCCAAUAUUAUGAAUUAGUUAAUCAUGUGAUGAACAAAAUGCGAUGAAAAUAAAAAAGUGAUGAAUGUGUUUGUGUAUUUAUUGUGUUGUUUUUGUAUCUUGAUGUAAAAUAACCAUAUGAUUAAAUUAAAUGUCUGAUUUCAGCCUCA